GGACGUAGAGCCCAGCCCCUGGAUGAAACACGUGGUUUUUAGUGGGUCCCAAAAAAUAUACUAGCACAGACUCCUGAGUAUUGCCAAUCUUGUUUCUUUGGAGGCAGACAUGACCAAAAGGGGCAAAGCUUCAGGAGCACCAGUGGUAAAAGAUGUGCUAAUGUUAAGGUAGUUGUUAGCUUACCAACAGUAAAUUGCGGUGGCCCAGAGGUGCAAUAACCCAAAAAAUUAUCCAUAUGUGGCAGGAGGAUUUGCUCCUCCCUUCCCCCCGUGUGCCAAAUCGGCAUUGAUUGAAGGGAGGCGCUACCUGCCGUAUAUAUACGCAGGUGAAACUACUCUCUCUCCUUUCGCUCUUCCUCAUCAGCAGCAGCGUUGGCUGUGUGGCGUUUCUUUUUAAAAUCCAGUGCAACGCUGGUGGCUGGUCGGCAAGGCUGAGAAGUGCAACUGAUUUCCUGAACAGCGUGUGGAAGCGUGUUUCCUUGUUGGCGGUUCAUCGGGUGUGUGUACACCGUGUGGUGAAGCCGGGUUUAAGGAAAAGAGUUCCACUCUGCACGUAACGUGACUGUGGAGCCGGCGGACAUUCCCAGAGUCCACCACCGCCAUUUCCUUCACCCUCCGAAGCACUGCUGUUCUGGCUGUUUUGACUGAUUUUAUGAUUUUAUUUUAAUCUC